ACAGCCAUUGAAGAGGAGUGGGACAACAUUCCACAGGCCACAAUCAACAGCCUGAUCAACUCUAUGCGAAGGAGAUGUGAACACGGUAACGUUGCUUUUACAUUUUUAACCAAUAACGCAGAUCUUCCGCGAUCUGGAAUGAAUCCAGACCUUAACCAUGUUAGUCUCAUUAAGAUAAAAAAAAAAAACAUGUGCAAUGUGAAUGUGUGGAGCCUACUGUAAGUAUCGAACAGUUAUUCACCCCCAUGACGAUUAAGCCAAACCCCGAGAGGACACCAAAAGAAAAAAAAAAAAAAAAGAAAAAAAAGACCUCUUUUGUCAAAGUCAGACAAAACCUCACAGACCCUUUAAAUGAGCCGUUCAAAAUUCUGAAAAGGACGUACCGAAAGGAAAAAACAAAGAUAAGAAAAGAAACAAGAAACAGAAAAGUUAUCAGAGCCGCUGUCUGUGUACCUCACAAUGGCUCUCGCUGAAGUUUGUGUCUCUUCUGAUCUUCUCCCAGCUGGACUUCUGAUUUCCACCCUGUCUCCUCUGAUCUGCCUGCAGACAUCCGACAUCCUUUUGCCAGCCUGUGAGCUGUCAAAGUACCCCUGGAAUCAAACGCCCAGCCAUCCCAUCUCCAUGCUCCGGCAUGAUCAAAGAGGCACAGCGUUUGAUGGAAUGCUGGCUGGACAAUCAGACCUAGAUGAUGAUACUUGAGUUCUCAGAAAGAAGAGGAGAGAGGUCAUAUAAAGACAUGCAACAAGUAGUCUGCACUAUCCACCUCACCAUCACACAGAAGAGCUCCUCUGUCCAGUGGGACGCCUGCUGCCCCUCUCAGAGCUGGGCGACCCUUCACCUCUGCUGUGCACUGAGGCAGACACAAGCCUCUGAGUGUCUGCUUCCAUCGUCUGCCCACUCCCUGCCUACGUGUUUGUAAUGCGGUGUGUGUGUGUGUGUACCGCGUGUGUGUGUUUGUGUACGGUCCGUGGAGCAUCCAUAGCCACGGGCCUCUCCUGUCCACUCCUGGCCCCUCAAACAAGGCAUAGGCUUCAGCUUGAUUAACCACUUAGUUCAUCCCCUCAGACAGAAUAAUGCAGGGAGAAAGCAGAGUAAUGAAGUGCUUCUCUGACGCCUUGAUUUUUUGGGGUUCAGUACUGUUUGUUCCCUGUGGACAAUCUGAAGACGCUUAUUUUUUCGCCAAAACAAGUGCCCAUCCAUGUCCCUCUCUCGUCAUCCCUAACUGGUGUGAAUAAACAUAAUCAUAAUGGUACAUAUUUUGAGAGGAAAUUGGAGGCUUUUUCUCUCAAAUCACUUCUGAUGGGCUGUUCAUCUUUCUAAUUAUGUAGAUUAUACUGUGUGUGUCAGACAUGGGCUCAACAGACGCGGAAUAGAAGAGUGCUUUGCCUUUGUACCGGAUGGAACAGAGUGUCAGAGUUCCACAAAGGUUGGCAAUUACGUUCUCCUGUAUGCUUCUUUGUUCAUGAGAAGAGGAACUGCACUCGACAGACAGACAUGGAUAGACUGUCUCAAGAAUGAUUGAGGAUUGAGGAGUCAAGACUUAGCUGAAAGUCAAGUAACUGUGCAGAGCCUGCAGUCUAGCAGCAACACUCACGGCUAGACACAUAUACCAAUCCCCAGACCCCACCGUGAACUGGGGUUCAAUUCCUGCAUCUACUGUUCUCCUACUUGCCUGUCUCCCUCUUUGUUUCCAACUGUCUAAAUCAAGUGCAAAAUGUAAAAAAUAUAGAAAAAGGAAUGUCAAGUAACUGCUGAUAGUAUUUUUCUUUCAUGAUAUCAAAUUGUUUCUGCCUACAUUUUUACUAAAUUUACAAUGUACAUUUACAAUGUACAGUAUCUGACUUGAAGGACUUCAAAUAGCCCUGUUUACUGUAAACAAUAUUAUGGUAAGAACUUGCACAAGCAUCCCUCAUUGAGGAAAUAGAUGCCAUGUCAAAAACUGAAAAUUCACCUGAAACUUUUACAGAAAAUGUCACUUAUACUUUCGAUCACCGCUCCUAAAAGCUCGAACUCCAUCCUAACAACGCAUCCCUCUUUGAAAAAGACGCCACGGAGUGAGUGAUGUGACACACAUUCAUCAGUAUACAUAGCAGGAUGACUUGUCAAAAUCUGUGGGUGAUUAUUUCUGUCCAAGAUAUGUCCAACCAAGGAUUUGACGCAAGAACUUCCCUUUGCACUCCGCUCCAAUAGACACAAAAGAGGAAACAGGGUUUUGGUUAAAUAUCUAGGGCCUUUUCACUUGCCCAUCCAGGGCUGAUAUCCAAAGCUGAAGUUAGAGUGCAACAUUAUAAUACUCCAUUGCCUCCACCUACAGACCUGCUAACCACUCCAAACACAGACAAGACCAUUCGUGGAGAGCCAUGUUCGAUUCCCCGACUGACGUGCCUGUGGUGCAGCUGGUGAGGGGUCAACUAAGGGGACAGCCUGAGGUGGUGAAGCAGGAAUACUUGGGCCCACCAGGACCACAUCCCCAUACCUGGCCCCAGCAGCACCGGCCCUACCUCUACCCUCCUCACCCUGCCUGUCCAACCCGGCCUGCCCGCCCUCCAUGCCCAUACCAGGGGGCCUACUACACAGAGCAGCAGCCUCCAGCCUGGUAUCAACCACACAACACAUG